GGGGAACCUGAUAGGUUCAGCUAAUGCUGCUGGGCUCUUUCAUGGACAGCUUGGCAGCUAGCCUGAAGAAUGCAGCCCAUGUGUAUUAAUAGACCAGAAAAGUGAUUCACUGUUCUAUGUACCUGUGAAAGGAUUUGCCUGGAAGAAGGAGAAAGGGAACUGUUGUCAAAUUCUGGACUGGAGUGAACUGUAAUGCUGAAGCUGAGCUGAGACUACAAGCAGCUCCUGACCACCAGAUGUCCCCAAACCUUUCCUGUCCAAACUCAUGCUGAGCUUCAUGGUGACCCUUGGUGCCAGCCUGGAAAGUUGGCUCAGCCCUGCAGCUGUCUGUGGUGUCAUGAGGGGAACCUGUGCAGCUGCAGAGCCAGCACUGCCUCCACACAAAGCACCUUCUGGCAGAGCCCAGCCUUCUUUUAAGGGAUUUCUCUGGAUGGGGCACAAGCACGGCAGCAAAUUGCUUUGUUCUCAAGGAGUGUAAGCCUUGUUCCACAGAUAUUGGUGUGUAUGGAAGCAGCUAUGAAGUCAGAUUCACCUCCUCACUGUCUCCCAGUCUGUCACACGGAGGCAGGGCAGAAAAGUAGUUUGAAGUAUUUUGGAAAGUGAAGAAGUGAAGAUUCAACAGCAUGGCCCUACCCCACUAUAUCACGCAAAGGUAAAAGGUCAUUCUGUCACAGACUGUUACAGAAACAUCCAAGUGUUUCCGGAUGGAGCAGCACAGACUCCAUUCACAUAAAGGUUCUCCUUUACAGAGGGGAAGUGUCAAGGAGCAGAGCUGCAGAAAGGCUUCCUGGCUGAUCAACCAACAGACAGCACUUUCUGAAUGCAAAUUUUUGGAUUUGAGCAUCUUUGGCACCUGUCACUAGGCUGCCCAGAGAGGAGUCAGUCAUCACCACUGAUUGUGCUUGUACCGUUGCUGGCUAAAAGGUAACAGCGUGUGAAUACUGAUCAGGAAGAAGUAAAUUUACAGGUGAAAUAGAAAGUUAUUGCUAAGAAAUUCUGGAGAAAUGACUGUGUCGCCUUUUAAAUAAUUGGUUUAAUGGUACAUAAGCAUCAUUAUCUUCCAAGGUGAUUAUGAAGAGGAGAAAGGAACAGGAUACUGUUGCUACCACCCUUUGUACCAGCAGAACAAGCAAAAAUUAAUUUGAGGAAAACUGUCUAACAGUACAGCUAAUAAAAUACCACAUUAAGUUCAAAUGGAAAUAAAGGGAAUUCACCUGAGGAAUAAAACCUGUCCAUUCAUGCCAAGAAAAUCCAGUGCAAAACAGCUCCCUAAUUGAAAGUGCAGGCAGGAUACUUCAUCAAAGUCUCUCUAACAAGCAGAUCCUAUCAUUUCCCCUAUGAGAGAGAAGGAAAAGGUACAUGCCCGACUUGCUCAUGCAUACGUGCCUCACAAUGACUCGGAGAGAUCUUCAGAAUGCAAGGAAACCUCCUGAGUUGCCAUAUCAUUCAUGGACUCAUUGCCUACAAACAAGCACAGUAUGGGAGUGUAAGGAAAAUGAAGAAGAGCGGAGGAAAAGAAAAAAAUAUAUAUACAUAUAUAUACACACUAACUCUCCCAAAAUCUUGACUGACUCCAAGGAAAGCAUCAAGGCUCUAAAGCCCAAAUGACUGACAUUAUGAGUCUGGUGUUUUGGAAACCCCACACUGGGGCUGAAUGUGUGAACUCAAGGAUUCCCACAAGCGAUGCCUUCGUAAGCACAGAGGCCUCUAAUAUGGCACAAAAAGCACCAAACACCAGGCUGGCUGUGAUCACAAGCCAUUGGAGAUGCUGUCAACAUAUCAUCUCUACUGCUCAGUGAAAGCUGAUGGAGAGUGAGCUACAGAGAAGGAGCCCCAUGAGUGUGAGGCACCAUCACAGCAAGGGAGACACCACCGCUCUCACAGCUGGGCUGUGGUAACCCACUGCAGCCACUACAUUGGCUCUUGCCAACCUGCCCCAGCAUGGCAGCCCAUUCAUCUUUCCUUUCUCUAUUGGCUUUGUCAUCCUUCCAGAAGAGAUGGCUACAGAGAACUCCCAGGUGACUGGAAAGAAGCCUUCCCAAAGUGUCCUGUCAGACUCAUCCCAUUUCACACUUCAGCCCAUUUCUCUCUCCCUCAAGCAGGUUGCAGGCUUCUGUUCAGCCAGGCCCUCGCAUUCCCCCUCGCUUCCCAUCCUUGCCCCCACAGAGCAAAGUGGAAACUCUCAGGGUAGCUGCCAGAGGCACCCGGAAACAGGGUGAGGAACCCAGGGCAGUGCUCCCCAGCAUGCUUCUUCCUGCUGAGGAAAUCUCUCAGAGGAACCUCUGGGGCAAUAGGAAGGCAGCAGAGCUUCCUGCCGGCUUGAAAGCUCUGUUUCUGUUCUGCAAUUUUCCCUGAGCACUCAGCAAACCAUUCAGAUGCUUGGACUGUACGGUAAUCCAUUUGUCUUGGAUUAAUUUUUAUCUGUAUUAGUGAUUUAUUCCUGGUCACUGUUUAUUCUCCAACAACAUAUACCCUAGCAAUGGCCAUAACAGCUACACUAUUAAUGUGGUAAAAAAUUUGGCUCCUCCGUUAGCUGUUCUGUUCCUCUCACAAAGACAAGGAAGAAAUACUUUAAACCUAGUCCCUAGUUUACCCUAGUUUAUCUCCAUAACAACAGCUUGCCUCUGGGCCAGCAGGCCAAGCUGACCUGCCUGGCUCCUGCUGGUGUCUACCACUGAGGCAUCGCACCACAAGAUCUUCCUCAUGGUGGCACAGAACAAACAUCUAAGGAGCAUAAGGGCUGAAGAUAAGGAUGCAGGAUGCCUCACCAGCUCAUCAACCCCCAGGUUGCAGUAUGAGGAAAGGAAAAACAGAAAAACAGCUUGUCAGGAGUAUGUGGCACACACAGGUACAUACAGCGGUCUUGUCUAUUCCUGGCUGAAUGUUUGACCUCUCUGAAUGACGCAUGGGAUAAAGAGGGCUAAAGUGCAGAAAGGUGUUCCUCCCAGGGAGCGAGCAAUGUGCUCUGCUUUCUCACUAAAAGAAAGAAAUUCUACCUUUGUGUAAGAUGACCCAAAUUUCUCUUUUAAGACACGCAUGAGGCUUGAAUUUUUUUUUUCACCCUAACGUAUCACUUAAAUUCAGAGCAGCAGAAGUGUCCAUAUCCUGACAGACACUCAGCCUAUUUCAUUCAAAAGCAUUCAUGAAGUAUUUCACACACUAAAGAUGGUUGUCACAAUAAAGAGUAAUUCCUGCAAAGUUUUAAUGUUA